AGCGAAACCCCUUCCUGUGCAGUCUGUUGGUUCAAACUGCAGAAAGGAACCACGGGAUUCAAGAGUGACAUCAGGAUGGGGUGAGAUGCUUUUGCUCUGUUGUUGUUGUUGUUAUUUAAUAGUUGAAUUUUUUUCAAAUGACCCCACAAAGCUAGUUUGUUUCAUGGAGUUACAGGUUGGCCUUAAUUUCUUGUAAGCUUUGUGUUUUGUCUUAAACUCAGAGCACCACAACAUAUUUUUGUGCAAGCGUUCUUGAAGAUGGCUUAAAACACCCCAAGCGCCUAUGCAGGCGACAGGCUGCCUGUGGCUUUGUCUUCCUUACCUCUCUUUUGCUCUGUUGUUGCAGUUUUGCGAUGAUUUCACCGAGGAGAUGUCCCGUUUAGAGUUGAAUCCCAGAGUGAGCGAGUGCUUCCACCUGUUAAGCAGUGGCUUAAGAUUUGUGAGAGAAAACAGGAAGACAUGACUGACAGUGACACCAAAGAAUUCAGUAGCUAUAAUGGAUCUGGAAAAUAUUUGUGCCAUUUGGACCUCCGUGUGAAGUGGUGUUAAAAGGUGAAGUCCGGUCUAGCCAGCAUUUGGUGUCACUCUCACUGUUACUGUGGGGAGUCCUGUUAUGAAGGUGAGAACUUGUAAAUGAGUCUUUGUCAUACUUGGCAGCUUUCUCCCCAGCCCCCA